GGAUCAGUUCUGGAGAAGUCGUCUGUGAUGCUCUCGAGAACAAGGAUGCUGAAGGAGAAACCACCAACGGAGAACGUCAAGAGGAGAAGACGACCGACAUGAACCCGGACAGCUUUGAGAGCCGAUAUACCGAUGGAGAGCAGCUGGGAAAGGGAGGCUUCGGUUCAGUCUACAAAGGUGACCGUAAGGCGGAUGGGAACCAGCAGGUUGAGGUACCAUGCGCUGUACCCGAGACGGACGACAUCACAG